rnacentral:rRNA from 1 species
AUGCGAGGCAACGAGAUGGAGCAGGGGCCAGCGACGAGGCAAGGCAGUGAGGUGGAGCAGGGCCAGGGGCGCGUCGAGAGGGUGCAGCAGCUCCUGGCUGCAGCGGCGCGGCGCCGGAGCAGGGUCCAGCGACGAGGCAAAGGCGACGAGGAGGAGCCUGUGAGGGACCGUGGCGGGGAGGUAGUGGAGGACAGUGCAGAGCCGAGGAAGCAGCGGAGCUCCGAGCUCGGCUCCAUGGUGGUAGCUGCGAGCGGCGCCUGGAGGAAGCAGGGAAACGACAACUGGGAGGCCGGAGAAGGGGAUGAUGCAUUGGGGAGCUCCUCUCCCUAG